rnacentral:lncRNA from 1 species
AAAUAGAAAUCUUGAGGGAAAUGUUGGCCUACAACAUCAGUGUAACAUAUUUUCAUUCCGUCCUUCUCAGAAUACCUUGUAAAGAAUGGAGAGAUGUAGACAUGGUUUGACAGAAACAAUUAACAAAAGGAAAAUGUUAGGCAUGGUCAUCUCAGGAAAGAAUGUUACUCUUGGAAUUUUUAUAGGCCAAAGGGAAUCAUAAAUAUUAUCUGAAAGGCAUACAUAAGAUGACCAAGAAUAAAAUUAUUCCUC